GGCUCAACAUAGGCCAGUGGUUAGAGCACCUGCUUUGCAUGCAGAAGGUCCCAGGUUCAACCCGUGGCGUCUCCA